UAAUUGAAGAGUUUGAUCAUGGCUCAGAUUGAACGCUGGCGGCAGGCCUAACACAUGCAAGUCGGGCGGUAACAGGGGGAAGCUUGCUUCUCUGCUGACGAGCGGCGGACGGGUGAGUAAUGUAUGGGGAUCUGCCUGAUGGAGGGGGAUAACUACUGGAAACGGUAGCUAAUACCGCAUAAUGUCUUCGGACCAAAGCGGGGGACCUCAGGGCCUCGCGCCAUCAGAUGAACCCAUAUGGGAUUAGCUAGUAGGUGAGGUAACGGCUUACCUAGGCGACGAUCCCUAGCUGGUCUGAGAGGAUGAUCAGCCACACUGGGA
rnacentral:rRNA from 1 species